ACUGCGCGCUGCAGAAGCCCCAGCCGCAAGCCGUCGACAACCCGAAAAAGCUCCAGCCCCGAAACAAAGCUCACUGCAAACUUCAUUUUCCCGCAGUGUGCCUUAUGAAAAGAAAAUUGGCAAGUGGUGUACUAUAACUAAAGCGGUGUCCUAUCACAUUGCUAAAGAUAUGGUCCCUGUUGUAACUGGAACAAGUCGGAUUCAAAAAGCUACUGAAAACUAUGGACCCGAGAUAUGAGCUUCCCAGUCGCAACUACUUUGCACGAGAAGCACUGCCACAAAUGUACACUGAAGUCAGGCACCUUAUGGAGCUUUGAUUUCAAAAAAGAAAUUUCGACCCAACGAAGGAACAACAACGCAGACAACCAGUAGAGAGUGGAACCCUGUGUGGUUGUCUGCUGCAAUAGCCCAUUCAUGACAAGGACCGACCAGUUGUGUGUCCCGAGAUGCCGUUCUGCGCACCACUGUUGUACCACGCCAUUAUUUGCCUGUUAGCUUGCAAGAUUAGGUUUAGGCUGACCCAAAUUAUUAUACUGGUCCAGAUCUUUUUUUUUUGUCGAGCAGUAGCAUAUCUAUCUUUUUUUGUUCACGCCCAUCUCAGUGAAAUAAUCCAUUGUGGAGGCUGUGGGGAUUGCACAUUUCAAGAAGAUGGGGAGUGUGGCUGCACAUCUCUCUCCAGAAUGCACUCUCCCGCCAAUUUGUGCACAUUCAUAACUUCAUUGUGCGAAUUUGAUUGUUAGUAUCUAUCAAUUCCUGAUUACAUAUCACCAGUAGUACAUUUGCCAUUAAUUACUAUACUUUAUCUACAAUGUUUGUUUGGUUACGGUAAUGUCUGUUAAUGCAUUCAAUAUUUAUAUUAUUUUACUUUUAGAUGUGUAUUGUUAGAUACUACUCUUACUGUUGGAUCUAGGAACACAAG